UACGUAGGGGGCCAGCGUUGCUCGGAAUUACUGGGCGUAAAGGGUCCGUAGGCGGUGUAGCAAGUCGAUAGUGAAAUCUCUGGGCUUAACCCAGGGGCUGCUAACGAAACUGCUGUGCUAGAGUGUGAGAGAGGCGAGUGGAAUUCCAGGUGUAGCGGUGAAAUGCGUAGAUAUGUGGAGGAACAUCAGAGGCGAAGGCGGCUCGCUGGAUCACAACUGACGCUGAGGGACGAAAGCUAGGGGAGCAAACAGG
rnacentral:rRNA from 1 species